GGGAGAAGCUGCUGUGAGGUGUCAAAAAUCCAGAGGAUUUCAGCAGGGAACAGAUUCCUGCUGAUGACAACAGGAAUGGAAAAUACAAACUGGAGAUAUUUCACUAACUGAUGCCACUCUGUCUUUAGGGUCCUCCAGGCCCACGAGGACAUCCUGGCCCUCCGGGACCGCCAGGAAUUCCAGCCUCGUUUCAACAAGAUGGCUUUGGGACAGCUUUCCAGACACUGAUCCACUCGAACACCGCGCUCAAGACAGAGGGUU
rnacentral:lncRNA from 1 species